GCAUCGGAACGUGCCCAGUAGUGGGGGAUAACUAGUCGAAAGAUUAGCUAAUACCGCAUACGACCUAUGGGUGAAAGCGGGGAUUCGCAAGAACCUCGCGCUAUCGGAGCGGCCGAUGUCUGAUUAGCUAGUUGGCGGGGUAAAAGCCCACCAAGGCUUCGAUCAGUAGCUGGUCUGAGAGGACGACCAGCCACACUGGGACUGAGACACGGCCCAG
rnacentral:rRNA from 1 species